rnacentral:rRNA from 1 species
UAAACGGCCGCGGUUUAUCCGUGCAAAGGUAGCAUAAUCAUUUGUCCUUUAAUUAAGGGCUAGAAUGAAUGGAUUUACAAAAAAUAACUUUCUUUACUAUAAAAAUAAAACUUAAUAUAUGAAUGAAAAAUUUCAUAUCUUAUAAAAAGACCAAAAGACCCUAGCGAGCUUAAAUAUUUUACUAAAACCAUAUUUUAAAUUGGGGCGAUUAAAGAUAAUUUUCAUCUUUUUUAAACAUAAAUUAUAAUUUUACCUAAAUUAAACUUAAAAAAGUUACCGUAGGGAUAACAGGCUACUCAAUUUUUAAAGUUCAUAUUAACAAAUUGUCUUAGCACCUCGAUGUUG